rnacentral:rRNA from 1 species
GUAGGGUGCGAGCGUUAAUCGGGAAUUACUGGGGCGUAAAGCGUGCGCAGGCGGUUAUGUAAGACAGAUGUGAAAUACCCCCCGGGGGGCUCAAACCUGGGGAACUGCAUUUGUGACUGCAUGGCUAGAGUACGGUAGAGGGGGAUGGAAUUCCGCGUGUAGCAGUGAAAUGCGUAGAUAUGCGGAGGAACACCGAUGGCGAAGGCAAUCCCCUGGACCUGUACUGACGCUCAUGCACGAAAGCGUGGGGAGCAAACAGGAUUAGAUACCCUGGUAGUCCACGCCCUAAACGAUGUCAACUGGUUGUUGGGAAUUAGUUUUCUCAGUAACGAAGCUAACGCGUGAAGUUGACCGCCUGGGGAGUACGGCCGCAAGGUUG